AAAAAGGGAAACCCUAGGUUUCCGUGUCCAAUUUUGACUGUCCGUUUUAUAUGAAUUUUUUUAUAAUUCGUAUUUUCAUUGUUGUGAGAUGAUAAAACAUGAUUAAUAUUUUAUGCGUGACUUGUCUUUUUAUUUUUUUUCAUAAUUUUUUCAAAUAAGACGGACGGNCUUUUUUUGGGACGGAGGGAGUAGGAUCAAA
rnacentral:pre_miRNA from 1 species